CGGUUAUUUGUGUUUUAAAUGCACGUAUUUGUAAACAGAGCAAUUAGUCUAUGCAUUGAAACAUAGCAGUCAUGGCAAUUUUGUACGUGUGGGAAGCAUGUGGAGGUAGUGUUGGGCAUUGUUCACUGCUACUCGACAAUGGUACAUACAUCAGUUGGUGGCCAAAGGAAAAUAAAAGCAAAUUUAAAAAGAAGAAGAAAAAGGUUACAGCACACGGACACCUGCCUGACAAUUAUGAAGAAGAUGUAGAAGGAAUGGGACGUUAUGCCAGUCAAAGUUUUCAUAUUUCAAGUGA